UACGGGGGGGGGCAAGCGUUGUUCGGAAUUACUGGGCGUAAAGCGUGCGCAGGCGGUUUUGUAAGUUUGUCGUGAAAUCCCCGGGCUCAACCUGGGAAUGGCGAUGAAGACUGCAAGGCUAGAAUCUGGCAGAGGGGGGGUAGAAUUCCACGUGUAGCAGUGAAAAUGCGUAGAGAUGUGGAGGAACACCGAUGGCGAAGGCAGCCCCCUGGGUCAAGA
rnacentral:rRNA from 1 species